UUCCGUAGGUGAACCUGCGGAAGAAUCAUA
rnacentral:rRNA from 1 species